rnacentral:rRNA from 1 species
CUGUACUGACGCUGAGCUCGAAAGUAUGGGUAGCAAACAGGAUUAGAUACCUGGUAGUCCAUACCGUAAACGAUGAAUGCUAAGUGUUGGAGGGUUUCCCCUUUCAGUGCUGCAGCUAACGCAUUAAGCAUUCCGCUGGGGAGUACGGCCGCAAGGCUGAAACUCAAAGGAAUUGACGGGGGCCCGCACAGCGGUGGAGCAUGUGGUUUAAUUCGAAGCUACGCGAAGAACCUUACCAGGUCUUGACAUACUAUGCAAAUCUAAGAGAUUAGACGUUCCCUUCGGGGACAUGGAUACAGGUGGUGCAUGGUUGUCGUCAGCUCGUGUCAUGAGAUGUUGGGUUAAGUCCCGCAACGAGCGCAACCCUUAUUAUCAGUUGCCAGCAUUAAGUUGGGCACUCUGGUGAGACUGCCGGUGACAAACCGGAGGAAGGUGGGGAUGACGUCAAAUCAUCAUGCCCCUUAUGACCUGGGCUACACACGUGCUACAAUGGAUGGUACAACGAGUUGCGAACUCGCGAGAGUAAGCUAAUCUCUUAAAGCCAUUCUCAGUUCGGAUUGUAGGCUGCAACUCGCCUACAUGAAGUCGGAAUCGCUAGUAAUCGCGGAUCAGCAUGCCGCGGUGAAUACGUUCCCGGGCCUUGUACACACCGCCCGUCACACCAUGAGAGUUUGUAACACCCAAAGUCGGUGGGGUAACCUUUAGGAACCAGCCGCCUAAGGUGGGACAGAUGAUUAGGGUGAAGUCGUAACAAGGUAACCA